CCUACGGGUGGCUGCAGUGGGGAAUAUUGGACAAUGGGGGCAACCCUGAUCCAGCCAUGCCGCGUGUGUGAAGAAGGCCUUCGGGUUGUAAAGCACUUUAAGCGGGGAGGAAGGCUCGCGACCUAAUACGUCGCGGGAGUGACGUUACCCGCAGAAUAAGCACCGGCAAACUCCGUGCCAGCAGCCGCGGUAAUACGGAGGGUGCGAGCGUUAAUCGGAAUUACUGGGCGGAAAGCGUACGUAGGCUGUUAAAUCCCCGGGCUCAACCUGGGAGCUGCAUUCGAUACUGGCAGACUUGAAUACGGUAGAGGGGGGUGGAAUUCCAGGUGUAGCGGUGAAAUGCGUAGAGAUCUGGAGGAACACCAGUGGCGAAGGCGGCCCCCUGGACCGAUAUUGACGCUGAGGUGCGAAAGCGUGGGGAGCAAACAGGAUUAGAUACCCCAGUAGUC
rnacentral:rRNA from 1 species